CAACCAUAUCAAGGACGACUCAAGAUUCAACGAGCUCAAGGAAAAGCUCGAGCAAUGUGUUCAAGACUCAGUGCCAAGCAAGCAGCCAGCGUUCGUUACUUUCUUUGAGCAAACAGGAUGUGUUAUCGACCUGAGGUUAACGAGAGCAAGAGCUUUUGUGCUGACUUACGAGGUACGUAGCGAACGCUUGAAAACUAGGGUACACCUUAGGGGUUGAUUGGGAGUCCUUAUUUUAUUGAAUAGCUACAAAUUUCCAUCUACACUGACCACAUUCACAUAGACUCUUGAUAUCAUCACCAUCGCCAUCACCAUCACCAUCACCAUCACCAUCACCAUCAUCAUCACCAUCAUCAUCAUUGCGUUGGUCUCUUUCGGAUGCAGGUGUCCUGGAUGGUCAGAAGGGAGGGUGCUCGGGAACCAUGUUAGGUAAGAUCUUUUUAUAGAUAUUAUUAAACUCGGUGAGGACGAAGCCCACGCAAUAAACAACAACGUAAAGUGA